rnacentral:lncRNA from 1 species
AUAGAACAGAUUGGUGAUUGCCAGAGGUAGGGGGUGGGUAAAACGGGAGGUGGUCAAAAGGUACAAACUCUCAGUCAUAAAAGAAGUACAGCAUGGCGACUAUAGUUAACAACGCUAUAUUGUACACAUUACGACCGUGGAAUGCAUGUAACUCGUUCUGCGAGUGUUCUGCAAGACGAGCAAACAUUUCUAAUAAAUUUUGACUUGAGGGGCACCUGGGUGGCUCAUUAGGUUAAGUGUCAGCUUCGGCUCAGUUCAUGAUUAAUGAGUACCAGACCUGCAUCGGGCUCUGUGCUGACAGCUCAGGGCCUGGAGCCUGCUUCAGAUUCUGUCUCUCCUUCUCUCUUUGCCCCUCUUCCGUUCACAUUCUGUCUCGCUCUCUCUCUCUCAAAAAUAAACAAACAUUAAAAAUCUUAAAAAUUUGAAAAACUAAAAAAAUUUUAACUUGAUAAGCAAGUGAUGUCUUGCAAUGCGAGUAGUAUGUGCCACCAAAUGUCACAUGAUCACAAGUGAGCCAAUGGUUCUUUCUCUCUCUCUCUCUUACUCACUAUGGGAUUGUGGAUUAUGGUCUCCCAGGCUCAGAUGCUCCAUCUCAGGCCACGGUGAUCUUUCAGAAGGUUGGAACGUUCUGACAACUGGCACUAGUGUGUUUUUUGUCACUUCAAAGCCCCUAUGGACAGCCCUUUGUUUUUCCAUACAAGAGUAAGCUUAGGAAUGUUUUGCGUCAUUCUAGGUCAUUGGCUAGGUUCCUUGUUAAAGUUGCGUGAAAAGAGAAAGAUUAAAUUGAGUCAACAGACAGCAGUGAUUCUGUUAGUGAUAGUGAAAGUCGUCCUACACAAUAACCCUCCCAUCUCGUGUCUCCCUCACACCAACCACAAAGGUUUUCAAAGGUUGACACAUGGCUUCUGCCACUACUGACAAAGAACAGCCUUAUCAAGGCAGAAAGAGGUGUCCUUCCCUUCCUGAGACUGCGACACAGUUUAACACCCCAUCUGAACAAGAGCAGCCUGGCCGUGGCGGAAACAAGCGUCUCAAGAAUCUUCAGAGAGUUAUUUAGAUCAGCAGAGUACCUCAACGAGGCCAAACACCCGAGUGUUUAAAAGCCUCUUGGUUUUUAAAGUUUAAACGUUCAUCGCCUAAUGGAUACCACUGCCAUUACUAUAGUGUCAAUGCAAUAAUGAUUCUGCUCACUCCAAGUGCAGGAGUUUGAUAAGAAAGUCCUAAUAUCCAGCUUCAAAACCAUUGCAUCAAAACAAGUUACUCAAAGCAAGUUCAAAUCACAAACAAUUUUGUUCAAAAUAAGCUUUCGAAACAUGGAUUUGAAAUCAUAACAAGUCAAUCCACAGCAGUAUGAACAUAGAUUUUCAAGGACUUAGGGAAAAAUUGGGAAAUAAGACAAAUGGAUUUGUAAAACUGACAUUCAAACAAAAAGGUGAGGCAUUUUAAAAUCACCCCAAUAGUAGGUGCACAUUUCAUUGUGCAACAUUUGUUGAUUUGUCUGAGAUUUUAAUAUUUAUCAGUUCUAAGGACCAGUCCAGAGAAUAGUUUUCCUAUUGUCAUUUUAAUUUUUUUUAAUUUUUUAUGUUAAUUUAUUUUUUUAGAGAGUGAGAGGCAGAAUGGGAGCAGGGGAGGGGCAAAGAGAGGAGACAUUGACUCAGAAACAGGCUCCAGCUCCAAGCAGUCAGCACCGAGCCCUAGGCAGGGCUCAAGCCCCAACCCUUGAGAUCAAGACCUGAGGGGCAGUCUGAGGCUUAAC